rnacentral:rRNA from 1 species
AUUGAACGCUGGCGGCAUGCCUUACACAUGCAAGUCGAACGGCAGCACGGGAGCUUGCUCCUGGUGGCGAGUGGCGAACGGGUGAGUAAUACAUCGGAACGUACCCUGAAGUGGGGGAUAACGUAGCGAAAGUUACGCUAAUACCGCAUAUUCUGUGAGCAGGAAAGAGGGGGAUCGCAAGACCUCUUGCUUUAGGAGCGGCCGAUGUCGGAUUAGCUAGUUGGUGAGGUAAAGGCUCACCAAGGCGACGAUCCGUAGCGGGUCUGAGAGGAUGAUCCGCCACACUGGGACUGAGACACGGCCCAGACUCCUACGGGAGGCAGCAGUGGGGAAUUUUGGACAAUGCCGCAAGGGUGACCCAGCAACGCCGCGUGGAGGAUGAAGGCCGUAAGGUUGUAAACUCCUGUUAGAGGAGAAGAACAGUACCGAUUGGAUCGGUAUUUGACUGUACCCUCAGAGAAAGCCCCGGCUAACUACGUGCCAGCAGCCGCGGUAAU